rnacentral:rRNA from 1 species
GAUGAACGCUGGCGGCGUGCCUAAUACAUGCAAGUCGAGCGAACAGACGAGGAGCUUGCUCCUCUGACGUUAGCGGCGGACGGGUGAGUAACACGUGGAUAACCUACCUAUAAGACUGGGACAACUUCGGGAAACCGGAGCUAACACCGGAUAACAAAUUGAACCGCAUGGUUCAAUAGUGAAAGACGGUUUUGCGGUCACUUAUAGAUGGAUCCGCGCCGCAUUAGCUGGUUGGUAAGGUAACGGCUUACCAAGGCAACGAUUCGUAGCCGACCUGAGAGGGUGAUCGGCCACACUGGAACUGAGACACGGUCCAGACUCCUACGGGAGGCAGCAGUGGGGAAUCUUGCACAAUGGGCGAAAGCCUGACGGAGCAACGCCGCGUGAGUGAAGAAGGUCUUCGGAUCGUAAAACUCUGUUGUUAGGGAAGAACAAAUGUGUAAGUAACUAUGCACGUCUUGACGGUACCUGAUCAGAAAGCCACGGCUAACUACGUG